GAGCCUACGGGGGGCAGCAGUGGGGGAUAUUGCACAAUGGGGGGAACCCUGAUGCAGCGACGCCGCGUGGGCGAUGGAGCGCCUCGGCGCGUAAAGCCCUAUCAGCAGGGAAGAAGAUGACGGUACCUGACUAAGAAGCCCCGGCUAAAUACGUGCCAGCAGCCGCGGUAAUACGUAUGGGGCAAGCGUUAUCCGGAUUUACUGGGUGUAAAGGGAGCGUAGACGGCAGGGCAAGUCUGGAGUGAAAGGCAGGGGCCCAACCCUUGGACUGCACUAGAAACUG
rnacentral:rRNA from 1 species